rnacentral:lncRNA from 1 species
CGGCGCCGGAGAAGCAAUCGCCGUCGCUCGACGAUUGCCUCAAGUUGUUGAGAGGCGAGAGAGACGAGCAGCGCCUGGCCGGCCUGCUCUUGGUGACCAAGUUCUGCAAAGGGGACGACCUCGCUUCGCUGCGCAGGGUUUACGAUGCCGUAGGGGCGCGGUUCCUCGACCGCCUCCUCAGAACCGGUAAUUUAGGAGACGCCUUGACUAAAAGAAUUACCUUUUCGAUCGGUAAUUUAGGAGACGCCUUGACUAAAAGAAUUACCUUUUCGAUUGCCUAUUUGGCCUGCGAGAUGGCAUGUAUAAGUGAAUAUCAGCAUUUUGGGAAUGGUAGGCAGUGCUUCGAGGAACGCGCGUGUUCCGAGUGACAUGA